CCCAGCCUCUCCCUUCGACCGCCCCGCUGCGGUGGAGCAGGAGAGGUGUCCAGUGGCCAUGUGGUUGACCUGUCCACCAACCGAUAAGUGUUUGGGCACUCUUUGAUGCUUGGGUCGUGCAGACCACAAAGUGUGGGAAGGCUGGCCUUAGAUGGGCUUGCAGAUCUCCCUGUUGCCACUGCCCAGAGGGUGCGGCUGCCUGGUUGAUUGUGCCAGUAACAGAUGCUUGUAUCAAAGAUUAAGCCAUGCACGUUUAAGUACACAUGGCCGGUUCAAUGAAACUGCGAAUGGCUCAUUAAAUCAGUUAUGCUUCCCUUGAUCACUCCAUCUGUUACUUGGAUAACUGUGGGAAUUCUAGAGCUUAUACAUGCUGACAAGUGCUGACCUCCCAAGGUGUGUGCUUUUAUCAGAACAACACCAAUCCAGGAUUGCCUGGCGCUUUGGUGACUCAAAAUAACCUUGGGCUGAUGGCACGUCCUUGUGACAGAGACGAUACAUUCGGAUGUCUGCCUUAUCAUCUUUGAUGGUACUUUCUGUGCCUUUCAUGGUGACCAUGGGUAAUGGGGAAUCACUGUUUGAUUCCGGAGUGGGAGCAUAAGCAAUGGCUACCACAGCAAGGAAUGAAGCGGCCGCGCAAAAAACCCACUCUUGACUCAGGGAGGUAGUGAUGAAAAAUAAUAUAGUACACUUUAGAGGCUUGUAGUUAGAAGGAGUACACUUUAAAUCCUUUACUGAGUUGCCAAUGAAGGGCAAGUCUGGUGCCAGCAGCCUUGGGAAUUCUUAGCUCCAAUAGCGUAUAUUAAAGUUGCUGCAGUUACAACUCUCUUGGGAUCGAGCUGGUGGUCUUCCGCAAGGUGAGCUACCACCUGUCCCAGUCCCUGCCUCUCAGAGCCCCUGAGUGUCAGGGUGGUCUGAAGUGUUUAAAAAAAUAGAGUGUUGAAAGCAGGCUGGUCACCUGAAAACCUCAGCUAAGAAUAAUGGAAUAGGACUCUGGUUCUAUUUUAUUGGUUUUCGGAACUGGGGCUAUGAUUAAGAUCGAUGCCUGGGGAAUUGACAUUGUGCCGCUGGAGAGUUCCAUGUGAACAGAAGUUGAACAUGGGUCAUUUGGUCCUAAGAGAUCAGUGAGCACCUUUCGGAAGGGAUGGCAAUGACUUCCGUUGCCCUCAGCCAAUCGAAAGGGAGUCGGAUAAUGAUCCCCGAACCUGGAGUGGCACAGAUGGGUACCCUUGUGGCAUCCAGUGGGGUAACGCAAAUAUCCCAGAGAAGCUGACUGGAGUCCCGGGAAGAGUUCUCUUUUGUGAAGGGUAGUGCACCCUGGAAUGGGUUCCCCCCGAGAGAGAGGCCAGAGCCCUGGAAAGCGUUGCAGUUCCGGUGAGCUAUCUUUGGUCCUUCAAAUGUGGGGGGAUGGUGUAAAUCUGCGACGGGCCAUGCCCAUAUCCAAAGCAGGUAUCCAAGGUGAACAGCCUCUGGCAUGCUGGAACAAUAUAGGUAAGGGAAGUCGGCAAGUCAGAUCCAUAACUCCCAGAUAAGAAUUGGCUCUAAAACCUGGGUUGAUUGGGCUGGGGUGCAAAGCAAGGCUAGGAUCGUGCUGCAGCUGAAUGGGGCAACCAUCCUGGGUUCGCUGACUCUGGACGUGAGCUGGCCCCUUCCUGUGGAUCGCCCCAGCUACGCUGGUUGCCGCUCUCAGUUCCCCUCUUGGGGUUCUGGCCAGUGUUCUGCCUUUGCUGAUGCCUCGCUGACUUAGAACUGGUGCGGACCAGGGAAAUCCGACUGUUUAAUUUAAAAAAAGCAUCAAGAAGGGCCAAGGCGGAUGUUGAUGUGAUGGGAUUUCUGCACUGUGCUAUGAAUGUCAAAGUGUGGAAAUUCAAUGAAGUUCUGGUACAUACAAGGAGUAAAUAUGACUCUCUUAAGAUAGCCAAAUGCCUCGCCAUCUAAUUAGUGAAGUGCUUGAAUGGAGGAACGAUACUUCUGCUGUCCCCACCUACUAUCUUUCGAAACCACAGCCAAGGGAACAGGCUUGCCAGAAUCAGCAGGGAAAGAGGACAGUGUUGAUCGUGACUCUAGUCUGGUACCGUGAAGAGACAUGAGAGAUGGAGGAUAAGUGGGAAGCCCUUUGGCUGCCGGUGAAACACCACUGCCCUUAUUGUUUGUUUCACUUACACAGUGAUACACUUCUGGCUCCAAGUGCCUGCCGUCCACUGGACGCAACUCACUCUGGGGACAGUGGCAGGUGGGGAGUUUGACUGGGGCAUUACACCUGUCAAACUUUAACAGAGGUCUCCUAAAGCGAGCUCAGGGAGGACAGAAACCUCCCACAGAGGAGAAGAGCAAAUGCUUGCAUGAUCUCGAUUUUCAGUAUGAAUACAGACUGUGAAAGUGGGGCCUCAUGAUCCUUCUGACUUUUUGGAUUUUAAGCAGGAGGUGUGAGAAAGGUUACCACAGGGAUAACUGGCUUGUGGCACCCAAGCGUAUAUAGCCAUGCCACUUUUUGACCCUUCGAUGUCUGCUAUUCCUAUCAUUGUGAAACUGAAUCCACAAAGUGUUGGAUUAUUCACACACCAAUAGGGAACGUGAGCUGGAUUUAGACGGUCAUGAGACAGGUUUAUUUUACCAUACGGAUGAAGAAUUUUUGUAAUAGUAAUCCUGCCCAGUAUGGGAGGAACCGCAGUUUCAGACAUAUAUGUAUGUGCCUGCCUGAGGAGCCAAUGGGGCGAAGCUACCAUGUGUGGGAUUAAUACUGAACACUUCUACGUCAGAAUCCCCCUAAACCGUAAUGAUACGGCAGCACUGUGGAGACUCAGUUGUCCUAUGAUAGUUGCGCUCUGUGCCAGUACAUAGAGCCGCUCUCCUCUGCACUAAAAUGUGGACAGAAUCCCCAUGCUGUUACAAUUCAGAAAAGAACUCAAGACCCACCUCUUCAAGGUGUUUUUCCUCCUCAACACCU
rnacentral:rRNA from 1 species